CAUCCACGUGCGUUUUUUUAAUUACAGCCAUUGUGUCAUGUCUCCAAUGUUUCUAUAUAAACUUCAUUCCUAUGACUAAGGCUUUGUCAAUAAGAAUCAGGAAAUUAGACAUCAAACUACUAGGACAACAAUGAGGACAUUAAUUCGUUUCUUACUGACAGUGUUUUUAUUUGAUAGUUUCAACUGUGCUAUUCUCCAACAUGCUCAGACCAGACCUGACCGCUUCGACUGGAGAGAUUAUGGAGUUAUAACACCCGUUUCAGAUCAGGGGAUGAUCGGAGAUCCUGUGGACUUUGUUAUUGCAGAGGGUAUUGAAAGUCUCUACGCCAAUACAGACUAAAACCAAGGCUAUCCCUUUGAGUAAACAA
rnacentral:sRNA from 1 species